UACGGGGGGGGCAAGCGUUGUUCGGAAUUACUGGGCGUAAAGGGCUCGUAGGCGGCCAACUAAGUCAGACGUGAAAUCCCUCGGCUUAACCGGGGAACUGCGUCUGAUACUGGAUGGCUUGAAUCCGGGAGAGGGAUGCGGAAUUCCAGGUGUAGCGGUGAAAUGCGCAGAGAUCCGGAAGAACACCGGUGGCGAAAGCGUUCUGCUAGACCUGUACUGACACUGAGGGACGAAAGCUAGGGGAGCGAAUGGG
rnacentral:rRNA from 1 species